rnacentral:rRNA from 1 species
ACGGUUGAAAGCUUUAGCGUCUGAGGAUGGGUCUGCGGCCGAUUAGGUAGUUGCUGGGGUAACGUCCCAACAAGCCGAUAAUCGGUACGGGUUGUGAGAGCAAGAGCCCGGAGAUGGAUUCUGAGACACGAAUCCAGGUCCUACGGGGCGCAGCAGGCGCGAAAACUUUACACUGCGCGAAAGCGCGAUAAGGGGACCUCGAGUGCGUGCGCAAAGCGUACGCUUUUCAGAUGCCUAAAAAGCAUCUGGAAUAAGGGCCGGGCAGGACCGGUGCCAGCCGCCGCGGUAACACCGGCGGCUCAAGUGGUGGCCGCUAUUAUUGGGCUUAAAGGGUCCGUAGCCGGACCAGUUAGUCCCUUGGGAAAUCUUACGGCUUAACCGUAAGGCUGCCAAUGGAUACUGCUGGUCUUGGGACCGGGAGAGGCAAGAGGUACCUCAGGGGUAGGAGUGAAAUCCUGUAAUCCUUGAGGGACCGCCAGUGGCGAAGGCGUCUUGCUAGAACGGGUCCGACGGUGAGGGACGAAAGCUAGGGGCACGAACCGGAUUAGAUACCCGGGUAGUCCUAGCCGUAAACGAUGCGAGCUAGGUGUCACGUGGAUUGCGAAUCCAUGUGGUGCCGAAGGGAAACCGUGAAGCUCGCCGCCUGGGAAGUACGGCCGCAAGGCUGAAACUUAAAGGAAUUGGCGGGGGAGCAC